UUAAACAAUUGAAAUCACUUUGUCUCUUCUCCAAAAGCAAGAAACUCUAUCGUUUCCAUUCCAAAACCCCCAAAUUAGAUCAAACCAAAUUAUCUCAAACUCUAUCAACUCUCUUUUGCUCUCAUCGGUAUUGCAAAAAUUAUCCUAAUGGAAAGGAUAAAACUGCAACAUAUCUCCCAAAGACUGGAAGUGAGGUCAUUAUGCCUUUACAAGUAUUUUGGAAAUAUGCUCCUCUGGUUGUAAUGUCUACUAAGAUGCCCAAUUUCUUAGAGUUUAAUAUAUUCUCUUUUUGUUUAUUUUUUAGGACUCUUGGGUGUAAUGUCUACUCUUAAAAAGUUGAUGAUAAUUCUUAUGUAGAGUGCAAUAUGAUAUGCAGUUUAUAUUUUUGGUA